CAUAGCCUGUACCUGGAGACCAGAAGGAGUGACAGUGACAAACACCCUCUUGUCACAAAGUCAAUAUUUCACCUGCACUCAGUCGGUUCAGGUAUUUGGACCGGCCAUCAGGAGGGUUCGAGCAGCUCUCAAUCGAGGACUCCGAGUAACAGUUUAUACAAGUAACAAAGAUAUGGCUGGCACAGACUCUGGUCUGUAUUUGCGGGUGUAUGGCCGGACUAGCAGUAGCAAUGAAAAUAAACUCUCUGGGAGCUUUGAAAAGAAUGAUGUCGAUACGACUUCUAUGAAUGUUGGAGAUAUAGGACGACUGUAUCAAAUCAGAAUUCGCUCAGAUGACGGGGGAUGGUUUUCCGGCUGGCAUCUGAAUAAGGUUGAAAUUUAUGAAGAUUCCAAAACGCUUAUAUUCAAGUGUGGGUGUUGGAUUGGGGAAAAUAAUCCAAAAGAGAGAACAGU